rnacentral:rRNA from 1 species
GACGAACGCUGGCGGCGUGCUUAACACAUGCAAGUCGAACGAAGUGGCGAACGGGUGAGUAACGCGUAAUCAACCUGCCCUUCAGAGGGGGACAACAGUUGGAAAAGACUGCUAAUACCGCAUACUGAAGGAGGGGAUUGCGUCUGAUUAGCUAGUUGGAGGGGUAACGGCCCACCAAGGCGAUGAUCAGGAGCCGGGCUGGGAGGAUGGACGGCCACAUGGGGAAUGAGAAACGGGCCAGGCUCCUACGGGGAGCAGCAGGGGGGAAACUUUCGCAAAUGACGAAAGUCUGACGGAGCAACGCCGCGUGGGUGAUGACGGCCUUCGGGUUGUAAAGCUCUGUUAAUCGGGACGCGGUACCGGAAUAGAAAGCAACGGCUAACUACGUGCCAGCAGCCGCGGUAAUAC